UCUGCAGCUGCUGUUGAUGUUGCUGCUGUUCUCGCUGUGCCUGCUGCUACUGCUGCUGCUGCUGCUAAUAGUAUUACGGAACGUAAAGGCAUGGAUUACACAGAUUCCCACUUUUAUUCCGUCUGAAGAUUUCAGGAUUCUGAUUUAUGUUUGUACUCCUAUCAUUUCCGGUUUGUUUGAAUUCGGCAGUGCCUGAGGAUUUUGCUAUGGACGUUUCCUGAUGUCUAUUGUUGUAUUCUAAUAUGGCUAGAAUCGGAAAUUUAGUGAGUUGGAAAAUUAUUCUUCAAUUCGUGCAAGUCGGAGUUUAGGCAGCAAGUCCACCUGAGCACUAAUUAAUCCCAAUACCAGACAUCUCGUGCCACCCAUUGAUGUUUUGUGGAUCACAGGAUCAGAAGGUGGAAACUAUUAUUAUUCAUUUGGUGGUUGACACAGAAUUGAAGCAUACACAUCUUUACAGGAGAGAAGCAUUCCUUGUAAACUAAUUAAAGGCACAGCAGAAGACCUUAAGGUUUACAUGGGAUCAUCUGCUCCUGAUCUUCAAUAGAAAAGGUCCUGGAUGUCGGUCCAGUGGUCAUGAAAGCUAAUACUUACUGGAGCUGACUAACACUGCAAAACUAGCGACACAACCAAUAAUAACAAUAAUUCCUGAGAUAAACACAAAGACUGUUUACUGUAACAAAAUGUCUGUUAUUCAUCCCUGAUGCAUGAGCUUUCUAGAAAUUUAAGACUGGAAUCCUAAGAAGAAAAUAUCUUAUUAAAAAUGUCGACGUUGAUCCUGGAAAGGAAUUGGUAGAAGCUGAUACUUUCCGUUGACUAAACAUCCUCUUUGUAAUAAUAAUAAUAAUAGUAGUAAUAAUAAUAAUAACAAUAAUUAUAAUUAUAAUGAUAAUGGUAGAGAAGACAAGCCAAAACAACCUGGUAUAUGUUUGUUUGUCCAUCCACAUUCUGGAAACAUAAUGGAAGCUGACAGAAAUCGCAAAGUUAUUAUGGUCGAACCUUUGACUAAUGAACAGCAUAUCUUUGCUUAUAACGUCUCCAAUAUAACUGAUAGUCCAGAAGCGGGACUAAAUCAGUUCGGAACCACUAUUGGACCAUUAGAUGACCAGAUUUGGACUCCAGACGUAAUCCAACGUGUCGCGUCACUAGUUGUGAUCAUGGUCAUUACAUUAAUAGGAAAUACAAUAAUCAUAAUAGUACUGACUUGUAGUAAAUAUAAGAAGAAAAACAGUCGUGUGAAUAUUUUCAUUAUAAAUUUAGCUAUUGGGGACCUGACUGUGUGUUUCGCUACCAUGACUACAGAAAUUCUAUUCGUCUGCUUUGGUGAGUGGGUCCUAGGACCUGCUGCGUGCAAGAUCUUACCUUACCUACAGAUUGUCACUCUAGCUAGUACGACCUUCAUACUCACUGCCAUGAGUUAUGACCGUUUCAUGGCUAUCUGCAACCCAUUAAAUUUUAGAAACACCAUUCACCAAGCUCGAAUAUCGAUUGCAGCAGCUUGGAUUAUGGCGUUCGGAUUCGCUGUACCACAGCUCUUCAUUUUUGUACAAACUAUCAAAGGGGUACAUCCAAAUGGUAAGAAAAAAUAUGGUUGCCAAACUCAUGGUUACACUGGAGAAUGGCAAAGAAAAGUUUAUUUUACCUUUUUGACAACAUACAUUCUCAUCAUACCGGCCAUUCUGAUCUCAUAUUUCUAUAUCAAUGUAGUGCUUGCUGUUUGGCGAGCAAGUCGAGAGAUAGUCAACACAGCAGGAGAAGGGACGCUUCGUAGGAGUGUCCCAAAUCGCAGUACAAUACCACGCGCCAAAAUCAAAACAAUCAAAAUGACUUUAAGUAUUAUAACAACUUUUAUUGCUUGCUGGACCCCAUAUUUUGUUGUCAAUCUGAUACGAAUAUACAGCAAUUACAAAUACGAUAUUCCAGCUACGGUGAUUGCUUUCGCUGAAACAAUGGCCCUCUUACAGAGUGGGUUGAAUCCUUUGGUUUACGGUUUUUUCAAUAUUAAGCUGAAGAGAGGACUCAUGGAGGUCUUCUGCCCUCAUAAGAUACCAAGACUGAACAGGAAUCAAAGUUUACGCACUGUGCUGCCGACAGAGUGUGUAUCUGUCGCUGAGGAUUUCAAAAGCUCUCGAAGUUCUGUGCGAAGUGGACGAGAAUAUCAUCUUGUUAAUCAGACUAACAACGUACCAACUCCAACAGGUGACAGACAACGAAACCAGAGUUCCAUUAUUACAGAAGAAAACACGAACGGGUACAGAUUACGGGUAAGGUUUACUCCCAAAGAAACAACUCAUCCAGCGGAUAGUAAACACGGCGAAGAAAAUACUCUGGAAGAGGAUUUACAGCCAAGUACCGAAUGUGAAACAACAAAAGUAUAAACUAUAUAUUGAAAUAUUUCAAAAGAAACAAGUGAAGCGAUCUUGAAAGAGAUAUCUCAAAUGUGUUCACAUCAAACUCAUCAGUCAAUAUAUCUACAAAGACUCAAAUUUGUGAGAUGGUAUUGUGGAUUUUAUCGAACUCUAGUAUUUGAAAGGUGUUUUGUUUUGUAGUUACCAGAAGAAUGAAAAGAAAGUUAAAUCUCGACGGGAUUUGAACUCAGAACAUAAAAUUCUAAAUGCCACCAGGCAUUUUGUCUAUCAGUGUAACCUAGUCUAUCAGUCCCACAACAUCAUUAUUAUUAUUAACACCGUUAUUGUGGCAAUCACUGCAGAACAUUGAUAACUCUUCGGCAAAUUGAUGCAAUUUCGAAUCCUUUUUUGAAAACAUUUUCGAUAUUUUUGCGUCUCAAAUGACUUUGAGAAAAGCGUAUACUUCGCACUUCUCAUUCCUCAACCUUUCAAGAACCGGGGCCCUGUUCCUAAAAAAAAACAAAAAUAUGUUGUUAUGAUUAUCAUUAUUAUUAUUAUUAUUAUUAUUAUUAUUAUUAUUAUUAUUAUUAUUAUUAUUAUAUAUUUUCCAAAUUAUAAUUCAUUGUGGGUAUUUUUGGUUUUGUUUAUGGGUUUUUCGUGUUAUAGUCUUAUAUUCUUAGUUUCUUUUUUAUUUCUUGACAUUUGGACUAUUAGAAUGAAAUACAAAUGAAUAAGACACUUUAUUCAACAGCACUCCCUCACCCCUGAUAUUUAACCCGUUCCGUCGUCUGUGUAUUAUGUUAGGGUAUAGAAAAAAUAUUAAAAAUUAUACAAAUAUAAAGCAACAACAACAAAAACAAAAAUAAAAAUAAAACAAAAGUUAUAUCAAUCAUUAUAACCGCGAAAGCUUUCUGAAGUCGAAGCAUUAUCCUCCACAAAAGUUCGAUUGGAAUAUUUGAGAUUCACUUGAAAAAUAUUUCAAAAAAAAAUAAUAAAAAUUACAAAAUACAUUUACAAAAAAUAAUAUUCAUUUUAAAAAAUUGAUUUAAAAAUAUAUCAUAUAAAAUAUGAACGAAAACAUUAAAAAAGUCAGACAUGAAAUAUCACUGGAACUAACAGAAAGAAAGAAAAAUUCCAUUGUUUUACUGUGGGCUAGAAAGAAAUGACUGUCUUGUAACACAGAAAAUAUUUUGAAAGUAAUGGAUUUCAUAUACACAAAGGGCAUCCUAGAAUGAUCAGUGUAUCCGAAAGAAAAUUUAUGUAAUCAUUUGAUCGUUAUGGGUGUAAGAAUAAAAAUGCAUAUUUAAAAAUA